CCCUCUCAGUCUGUCAGUAUGAAGGUGUUAGAGGUGGGAGACUCAGUGAGUCAGUUCAGGUUGGCUGAGUCAUGUGUGGGGCUGGCAGGGUGUCUGUGCGUGGUCUACUCUGUUUGGACCCCUCGCUGGCUCAAUGACCAGGGACUGUGGUCUAUAGGCAACAACAGCACCAACACAGACAGUGAUGGUGACCAGACUGGGGACAUCAUCUUUAACGCCCUGGAGGCAGAGCAAGUGUUUGGGGUGCUGUCAUUCCUCAUGGCUGUGAAUUCAGGGGCUCUGUGCCUCGUGUUCGCCCUCUGCUGGACAUCCCAGACAGUGCGCUCUUACUCCAACACCCGCUCCCUCCUCAUGGCAGGCCAGGCCCUCUACCCCACCGUCUUGCUGCUCCUCACUCUGGGACCCACAGGAUUCUUCUUCCUCCUCAGCUGGUCCCUCUUCACCUACCAGCACCGGGUGGAGAUCAGCGAUGACUUCACAUGCCUGGGCUCCUCCUUUUGGCUGGGUACCCUGGGCUGGGCCCUGCUAUUGGUUGCUCUGCCUGUGGUCUUCCUGGUGGAGCAGUGUGUGGUCCCGGACAUCCUGCCAGAUCUCAUGAAGGCUGCCGAUGGGUGGCGGGGCGCCUCCCAGGUACCGUACGCCCAGUGCUCGUUUAUCGUGAGUCACCAGCGUUGUCAUGAAGACCAGAGUGAUGAAGACAUUGCGAGAGGGCUGAGGAGCCAACCUCCAGAAGACACCAGUCUUCACUCCUGCUCCUCUUCUCCACGUCUCAACUUUUAUUUUCCUCUGGUUCUGCCUGUUAUUUCUAUCGCCAACGUGACCAGCGAGCCUUCAGAUGACGCCAGUGUCUCCCUCUCUCCCUUCCCCUCACAUCACUAGUCUGUGAAUUGGUUUAAAGGACAGUCCCUCUAAAUCAGUCCUGAAUCAACGUGUGUUACGUUGCCAUUGUCUCCGUCUGAGCUAUGACACCAACUCCACUGAAAAGGGCACGGUCGUCCUGGCAUUUCCCAUAAUGGAUGUUUUAGUUAAAGGACAGGAAAAUAAUAACCAGAACUAUGUCUGGGAACAGUGCUGUUUGAAUCUUCCAGGAGAGUGGAGACCAGAACAGGGGACUGUCAGGGGUUGCGGGCCCUGGGGGGCCUGGGGGCUGGAGCUGACAGACAACGCUGCUCUUUUCACACUCAGACAAGCAGGAUGAAAGUUUUUUCUCUCUCUCUCUUCACACCUUUCUCCCGUGGUCAGCGAUCUGCCCACUACACUGAUGGAGAGAAAGAUGAGAUGAAAGAGAAAAUAUCUCCAGGUUUUGGAGGAACCUAUGCUUUCUCUGUAGCCACCCUUUCUUUCUCUGAAAGGGUGGCUACAACUGACCACCUCUGUAGAGUUCCAUAAUACUGUUGCUAAUAACCAGAUAAGCAUUGAAGAGGUCCACCACCUCUGUCCAGUUGUAGCAGUAGCACAAAUUACUGGUGCCUUGAAAGAGACUGAGCACACUCCUGUAAAGGUUCUUCCAGGAGACACAAGCCUGCUGGUGAUGGGCUGGCUGUGUACAUUUGAAUGGGUUUCUAAAAAAACAUACAGAGGCGAUUAAACACAAAACAAAUCCUCUGAGUGAGUGUUUAUGUGGCUGGAGCCGGUGCCCCUCUCUUCACUCAGGGAAAUCUACAUUUAACUAACACAGAAUUAAAGAGCAUUGUUUUUAUUAAAGACACCAGGCUGUAUUACCCACACUACUCCGGUGUCCCUGAAUCCAGCUUUAAUUUGAUUUGGUUUUACGGAGAGUGGAUCAGAACCAUGUGGAGUGUCUGCCUCUUGAUCAGACCCAUGUUUUACUUCCUGGUGUGGGGUACUGUCUGUAGACAUACUACCAGGCUUGCAGGAGUGAAAGUAGAUUUAACUUCUUUAACCUCCUAUGCAUCUGUGCCUUACUUGCUCAAAAAGAUUGUAUGGGCCUAAUCAUAAAAUUAUUAAUUUAAAGGAUCUUUGUUGGCCUAAUAGUAAAGAUUUGUUGAUUUAAAAUAUAACCUAUUCAUGUGGCAUAAACACAUCUGUCAUAAAAUGUCAAAAUGGUCAAAUAGGCCUACACUUGUAUCCUGAAUUGAUGCAUCCACUGCUGUCCGCAUGCAUCACUCAUCUCUGCCUUGGCAAAUUUUGUAGUGUAUUUCCACAUGUUUCCAAGUUCAUUUAUACAUUUUUCAUGCGACUGACAUGCGUAAUGAUAAUAAUAGUGUACACUUACAGUUUUCUUGGCAUCUUUGUUUUAAUUAUUGUGAUAGGUUCAUGUUUUACCAGUACGGUGUAAAUCUGUAGCCCCACUAUUUAUUUUGCCUGUCCUCCCUACCGGACCGUUCUGGCUUACUUUCACCUCUGCAGGCUUCUCUUGGGAUUGAUUUCUUUGAAAUAAAUAAGUUAUUUGAAUAAAUAUGUUUCCUAUAUUGUCUAGUC
rnacentral:lncRNA from 1 species